UAUUGGGCAAUGGGCGAAAGCCUGAUCCAGCAAUGCCGCGUGAGUGAUGAAGGCCUUAGGGUUGUAAAGCUCUUUUACCCGGGAUGAUAAUGACAGUACCGGGAGAAUAAGCUCCGGCUAACUCCGUGCCAGCAGCCGCGGUAAUACGGAGGGAGCUAGCGUUGUUCGGAAUUACUGGGCGUAAAGCGCACGUAGGCGGCUUUGUAAGUUAGAGGUGAAAGCCUGGAGCUCAACUCCAGAAUUGCCUUUGAUACUGCAUCGCUUGAAUCCAGGAGAGGUGAGUGGAAUUCCGAGUGUAGAGGUGAAAUUCGUAGAUAUUCGGAAGAACACCAGUGGCGAAGGCGGCUCACUGGACUGGUAUUGACGCUGAGGUGCGAGU
rnacentral:rRNA from 1 species